AACGAACGCUGGCGGCAUGCCUAACACAUGCAAGUCGAACGAGACCUUCGGGUUCUCGUGGCGCACGGGUGCGUAACGCGUGGGAACCUGCCCUUAGGUUCGGAAUAACUCCCCGAAAGGGGUGCUAAUACCGGAUAAUGUCUUCGGACCAAAGAUUUAUCGCCUUUGGAUGGGCCCGCGUUGGAUUAGCUAGUUGGUAGGGUAAAAGCCUACCAAGGCGACGAUCCAUAGCUGGUCUGAGAGGAUGAUCAGCCACACUGGGACUGAGACACGGCCCAGACUCCUACGGGAGGCAGCAGUGGGGAAUAUUGGACAAUGGGCGAAAGCCUGAUCCAGCAAUGCCGCGUGAGUGAUGAAGGCCUUAGGGUUGUAAAGCUCUUUUACCCGGGAUGAUAAUGACAGUACCGGGAGAAUAAGCUCCGGCUAACUCCGUG
rnacentral:rRNA from 1 species